rnacentral:rRNA from 1 species
UGAAAUAAACCUGAUGAGUUGCUGCUGGUUCUCUAGGGAGCAUGUGCACGCUCGUCAUCUUUAUAUCUCCACCUGUGCACCUUUUGUAGACCUGGAUAUGUCUCUCUCUCUCUGAGUGCUAGUCACUCAGGUUUUGAGGAUUGACUGACUCCAGGCCUAUGUUUAUUCAUAUACCCCAAUGUAUGUCCUAGAAUGUAAUCAAUAUAGGCCUUUGUGCCUAUAAAUCUAUACAACUUUCAGCAACGGAUCUCUUGGCUCUCGCAUCGAUGAAGAACGCAGCGAAAUGCGAUAAGUAAUGUGAAUUGCAGAAUUCAGUGAAUCAUCGAAUCUUUGAACGCACCUUGCGCUCCUUGGUAUUCCGAGGAGCAUGCCUGUUUGAGUGUCAUUAAUAUAUAUCAACCUCUCUUCAGCUUUUGCUUGUUGAGUGUUGKAUGUGGGGGGGGGGAAAGGAAAGUUUCCCAUUGCUGCUGGCCUUUAGCAGGKCAGCUCCCCUGAAAUGCAUUAGCGGAACAAUUUGUGGAUCCCGUUCAUUGGUGUGAUAAACUAUCUACGCUAUUGACGUGAAGCAGGUUCAGCUUCUAACCGUCCAUUCACUUGGACAGCUCUUUCAUUAAUGUGACCUCAAAUCAGGUAGGACUACCCGCUGAACUUAAGCAUAUCAAUAAG